GAUGAACGCUAGCUACAGGCUUAACACAUGCAAGUCGAGGGGAAACGGCAUUGAGUGCUUGCACUCUUUGGACGUCGACCGGCGCACGGGUGAGUAACGCGUAUCCAACCUUCCCAUUACUGUGGGAUAACCUGCCGAAAGGCAGACUAAUACCGCAUAGUCUUCGAUGACGGCAUCAGAUUUGAAGUAAAGAUUUAUCGGUAAUGGAUGGGGAUGCGUCUGAUUAGCUUGUUGGCGGGGUAACGGCCCACCAAGGCUACGAUCAGUAGGGGUUCUGAGAGGAAGGUCCCCCACAUUUGAACUGAGACACGGUCCAAACUCCUACGGGAGGCAGCAGUGAGGAAUAUUGGUCAAUGGACGGAAGUCUGAACCAGCCAAGUAGCGUGCAGGAUGACGGCCCUUUGGGUUGUAAACUGCUUUUGUAUGGGGAUAAAGUUAGGGACGUGUCCCUAUUUGCAGGUACCAUACGAAUAAGGACCGGCUAAUUCCGUG
rnacentral:rRNA from 1 species